CCUACGGGGGGCAGCAGUGAGGAAUAUUGGUCAAUGGGCGCGAGCCUGAACCAGCCAAGUCGCGUGAAGGAUGACUGCCCUACGGGUUGUAAACUUCUUUUAUAAAGGAAUAAAGUGAGGCACGUGUGCCUCUUUGUAUGUACUUUAUGAAUAAGGACAGGCUAACUCCGUGCCAGCAGCCGCGGUAAUACGGAGGUUCCGAGCGUUAUCCGGAUUUAUUGGGUUUAAAGGGAGCGUAGAUGGGUUGUUAAGUCAGUUGUGAAAGUUUGCGGGUCAACCGUAAAAUUGCAAUUGAUAAUGGCAGUCUUGAGUACAGUUGAGGUAGGCGGAAUUCGUGGUGUAGCGGUGAAAUGCUUAGAUAUCACGAAGAACUCCGAGUGCGAAGGCAGCUUACUAAACUGCCACUGACAUUGAUGCUCGAAAGUGUGGGUAUCAAACAGGAUUAGAUACCCCAGUAGUC
rnacentral:rRNA from 1 species